GGCUCUCUCUGAGGUGGUGUUCUCUUUUUAUCUUGAACCCAGCCGUCAUAGCUAUUUAUGAAAUAUUUGCUGACUCAUUGUUUAGGGAAAACUGCCAAGAGAAGAAGCUAAGUAGAGCAAAUGCAGACGUGCCUGCUGCGGACAAGGACAGGUUUCCACCAGCGGGCGCCCUCCCGGCUGAGGGGCGGCGCAGUCUCCCUUCUGACCUCCGGAGGGCAGGGCGCUGUGUCAGAGGCUCCCAGGCCUGUGCAUGGGGGCAGCAAGGGAUCAUCAGAAGCUACCAUGACACUUGCUCCCUCAAGAGCAGCUCCAGUUGAUAGAGCUGGGGACAGGGAUGGACCUUCAGGACAGUCUGACCCUGGUCAGCUACGGUCUCUCACAUAGGAAGAUGGCACUGGGAUUCAAGGAUUCUGACUAUAUUUGAGACUCAUCUGAUGCACAGAACAGAGAGGACAGACUUGGCCAGAAUUGCCAGCAAAGUUGAUUCUUGUGAUCACUCAGCCCUGUUCCAGCACAGUCCUUCAGGAAGUCUGGCUGCAGCCCUGCCAGGGGCUCCAGGGAAGCUACACACAUCCUUAUAAUAACACUUUCCUCCAGUUUGGUUUAAAGCAGUUUUAGUGGAUUUGUUACUUGUGGCCAAAGAGGUCUGGUGCGUGCACAGACAACAGGGCAGCACAAGCACACAAAAAUGAACAUGUAAAAAAAAGAAAAUGUAUUCACUCCCCAUGCAUGUGCAUGCACACACACACACACACACACACACACACACACACACACACACACACAUAUCCGGUGUUUGAACCAGGCUCUUUGUAACUCCAUGUGGUCCCAAUGGAAGCUUCUUUGGAAUCUGCAUUUUCCGGAGUCCCCUUGAGAAACCUCAGUUUUCAAUUCAAUUGGGAACAGCAGUGGUUCCCUAAUGUGCCUUCAUGGGCUUCAUCAGAAUCACCUGGAGGAACUACAGACGCGCGUAGAUCGCCAGCGGCCACCUUCAGAGGCAGAAACAGUCUUUCAAGGAGAUCUUGACAUCUGCGCUUUAAACCCUUUUUUUCAUGAGCUUUUGCUGUGCAGUGAGUCUACUGGGAUCCGACUGUUGGGUACAAGGUUUCUUCUCUCUUUCUUUCUUUUUUGUCAAUAUUGGGGCUUCAACCUGGGGCAUCCCAUAUGCUAGGCAAGAGCUCUAUUACUGAGCUACACUCCCAGCCUUUUUUAUUUUGAGACAGUAACCUACCCAGGAUGGCUUUGAACUUGUAAUCUUCCUGCCUCAGCCUCCGGAGUAGCAGGGAUUGGACAUAUGUGCCACCAUUGCCAGGAAGUUAACGUUUUAAAAGUUAAAUUAUUUCUUUUUUUUUUUUUUCCCACAUGGAGGUGGUGUCCUUAUCAACCUAUCAGUUCUGGGGGAUGGAUUUUGAAGGGACUUUGGCUAGUAGAUGAAUAAGAGUUUAGCCUGUGGACACAGAAUACAGUGAAGCUUGUCAGUCAGUCAGUCAGUAGUCAGUCAGCUUGUUAGAGCAUUUAGAACAUACAUUUAGUCCAAAGGGAGCUUUCCAGGUUGACUGCUUGAACUGGUGGCAUGAACCCGAUCAUUUGCUUUGCCUUCUGAGCUCUGUAGACACAAUUAAAAGAAGAAGAAAAUUGUGCAGUGCCUGCCUGGCAAGCAUGAGGUCCUGAGUUCGAUUCCUGAUACUCCCCCAAAAAAGUAAAAAAAAAAAAAAAAAAAAAAAAUGUGUAAAGCAGCAAAAGUACCUUUUACUUUAGAAACAAAUAUCAUUUCUGACCCAACAAUAGCUGCAUCCCUGUGAAUGAGGGGUCUGCAUAUUUUCCUGUUUUAAUGGUUCUAGUAUAAAUAGCCCAAACCCAGGCCUGAUUGUCAGUAGGCCCCGAGCAGCGGAACUGGAGUGCUGGAAAUGACUCCCUGAGCCCUGAGAACCUGGACCAGGCUCAGUGCCAGGAUUGGGCUUGUAUUAAACAGCAGCAGUGGGGUCAGGAGUGGAGGGAGAGGGGAAUUACAGUGAUCUCCAAGACCACAGCUAAUGCCAGAAGCAACAGCAAGAGCCCCUGCAGAGGCUGGAGGAGACAACAGGAACCACCACGAAUUGAAGCUGUCUUUGCACGGGUACCAGGCUGAGCGCAUAAUUAUUCAUUUGAGUACUUACAAAAGGUUGAUGUGAUAGGCGUAUUCUAAUAUAUCGAAGGUUCAUUGAGGUGGAAGGACUUCUUUUGAGGUCACACGACUUGUAAAAAAGAAAUACAAGAUCAAAUGAAGGCCAGUUUGACUCCGAACUAUCACAACACACAGAGAAGCCCAGGUGACAAACACCGUUUUGUGUGCCAGCGAGUAGGGUUUGGGCCUGGGAACCCUCUAGGGCAGUUCUUCAGGUGCACUGCUGGUCCCUGCUAAGACAUCCCUCCCACUUCCCUGGACCCACCGACCCACAGGUAAGGCAGAGGGCUGCAGGGCGAGGCAGCUGUUUUCUAGCACAAGGAAACUCCGUUUCUGAGGGAUUUUUUAUAUUCUGAGACUGCAGCUGUGACUCACCUUUUUAGGGUACCAAAAGAUUCAACAUAUAUUAAUCAACUACUGAUUAUAUAUUUAAUGAUUCAGGGAGUGGGGCUAAGGAGAAUUUCUUGGGCCUGAAAACAAGCAGAAUUGGUACUGGUAUAUAAAAAAAAAUUUAGGGUUCAGCCAUAUGAUGGAUUAUGAAGCAGUCGUUAAAAAUCAUUUUUCAAAGAAUAAGAUUAUGGAGAAAGCGUAUAAUAAAAAAUAAGGACAAGCAUGUUAUAAAACUGCAAUUCUACGGACACUAUAGCCUAAUAAUUACAGGAAUUAGACUGAAUGGAUUUAUUUUUAUAACUAUAUAUAGAAAUAAAAGACCGGAGGAAUAGCACCAAAAUAGUGACUAUGAUAACUUCGUGGAGGAGUGAGGUUAGUGUAAUUUUCGUUUUCUUCGUGGAUUUAGGGCUUUCCUCCCCUAGUUU
ensembl:lincRNA